GUGGGGAAUAUUGGACAAUGGGCGAAAGCCUGAUCCAGCCAUGCCGCGUGUGUGAAGAAGGUCUUCGGAUUGUAAAGCACUUUAAGUUGGGAGGAAGGGCAGUAAGUUAAUACCUUGCUGUUUUGACGUUACCGACAGAAUAAGCACCGGCUAACUUCGUGCCAGCAGCCGCGGUAAUACGACGGGUGCAAGCGUUAAUCGGAAUUACUGGGCGUAAAGCGCGCGUAGGUGGUUUUGUAAGUUGGAGGUGAAAUCCCCGGGCUCAACCUGGGAACUGCCUCCAAAACUGCAUGACUGGAGUACGGUAGAGGGUAGUGGAAUUUCCUGUGUAGCGGUGAAAUGCGUAGAUAUAGGAAGGAACACCAGUGGCGAAGGCGACUACCUGGACUGAUACUGACACUGAGGUGCGAAAGCGUGGGGAGCAAACAGGAUUAGAUACCCCGGUAGUCC
rnacentral:rRNA from 1 species